AUAAAGUUUUGGGUAGUUGUUUCUUAUUUCAAUGUCAUUCUUCUUUUUCUGUUUACUUUCCUUUUAAUUUCCACCAUUAUUAGGGUUGUCACAAGAAACUUCAAGUUUGGACAUUAAUGGCUGAUUUAAGCACUCCCAAGAGGGUUACACGAGGUUCUGUAGCAACUAUUGAAGCCGAGAGGCGAACCAAACUACCCAAUGACCCUAUGAAACAAGUUGAAAUGUUUCUAAUGUUUCGAUACACAACAUAAACGUGGAAAUAGACGAAAAAUUAGCACUAUUGCAUCCGGCAGCAAGGGAAAAGAGGUCGCUAAAGGAAGUAGCUCGAAAACACGGAAAGAGAAGGAAAUAAAAUUCUUUGUUAAACAACCUCCUACUUCAUCACCGCAAAUAUGUUCCUACACUAACACUGACAUAAUUUCUUACCUCAAAGAAAAGCUUAGUGCACAACAAUAUGAACUCUUUGGUCAAACAUGUUUUGGUAUAUUCCUCGGUAUAAAGCAUUGUGAGGUCUAAGUACAAUUGUUCAGGUGCUUCAUGGUGUGAGAGUUGGAAAAUGUUCUCUUGACGCAUUUAUCAUACAUGUAAAUGGUACAACAUUGUGUUUUUCACUCAGGGAGUUUGCGGUAAUUAUCAGACUAAAUUGUGUUGGUGAUGGAGAAGAUUUUAUGUUUAAUACAAAGAAGCCUAAUAGGCUAGUAGAGACAUGCUUUGACGGAGAAAAAAAUGUGAAGAAGUCUGCUUUAAUUGCUUUAUUGACAAGAAUUGGGACUUUGAUAACGAUGAUGAUGCUGUGAAAAUAGUACUGUUGAAUUUCAUACAUACAUUCAUAUUCUCCAAUGAAAAGAAUUGCACAACCAUUCCAAGGCAACAUUUUGACUUGGUCGAGAGAGUGAGAUAUUGUGAUUACCCAUUGGGUAAGGAGGCAUUCACUGCCCUUGUUAGAUCUAUUAGCCGGAAGAUAGAUUCCCAGAAGAAGUAUUACAUGAUUUUUGGCAUGCCUCUUGCUAUGUAAGUAUGGUUCUACUAGUAUUGUUCAAAAGUUGACCCCAAAAUCUUAAUCCGAAUUAAUAACCAUAUUCCCAGAAUACUCAAUUGAAAGUCCACUAACAACCGGUCUCUUUUUGCUUAUUUGAUAAACGGCAUGUUCAACGACGAGGAAAACCUGGUAAUUUGU